AUGGCGGCGACCGCGCUCCGGACCACCUGCCAGCGGAUCGGCGGCCGGGCCCUCCGGCCAUGGCUGGCCCCCGCGGCGGCGCAUCAGAACCAGCCCACCACCUCUCGCCUCUUUCACAGCACGAAGGCGGCCGCAACUCACUCAGCUGAGAUCCAGCAGGUCAAAGAGGAGCUCUACUGCAUGAUGUCCGAAAACAGGGACAAGAUAGGAAAUCAGAAGGGCCUGAUCAAGCACCUCUCAUCCCAUGUGGAGCCUAAACCCGAGGACCCUGUCUGGCGCUUCUAUCGCAGGGCAAAAUGGUACCAUUUAGUCAUGAUGUAUAGCCCAGCAUUCCUUUAUGGCUACAUGUCUAUGUUGGAUGUGCCUGAUGGCAAGAAGGAGAUGACACCAGCUGAGAAGGAUGAUUUUAACAAGAGGAUGGCCGCGUUGAUGCCCAAUGUGGAACUUUGA
rnacentral:rRNA from 1 species